GACGAACGCUGGCGGCGUGCUUAACACAUGCAAGUCGAACGAAGAGCGAUGGAAGCUUGCUUCUCUCAAUCUUAGUGGCGAACGGGUGAGUAACGCGUAAUCAACCUGCCCUUCAGAGGGGGACAACAGUUGGAAACGACUGCUAAUACCGCAUACGAUCUAAUCUCGGCAUCGAGGAUAGAUGAAAGGUGGCCUCUACAUGUAAGCUAUCACUGAAAGAGGGGAUUGCGUCUGAUUAGCUAGUUGGAGGGGUAACGGCCCACCAAGGCGAUGAUCAGUAGCCGGUCUGAGAGGAUGAACGGCCACAUUGGGACUGAGACACGGCCCAGACUCCUACGGGAGGCAGCAGUGGGGAAUCUUCCGCAAUAGACGAAAGUCCGACGGAGCAACGCCGCGUGAGUGAUGACGGCCUUCGGGUUGUAAAGCUCUGUUAAUCGGGACGAAAGGCCUUCUUGCGAAUAGUGAGAAGGAUUGACGGUACCGGAAUAGAAAGCCACGGCUAACUACGUG
rnacentral:rRNA from 1 species